GUUGCUUCUUUGAUAUAAUGGAGUGGCCAUUUUACUUUGUUGGUGAUCACUCAUAAUGGAGAAGCAUAUAGUGAAUGUGAAAUGCCAGUUUUAAACAGCAUGAUGUUCUUCCUGCUUUAGGGUUUAUUGGCAUCUUGUUACCUGUCUUCUGGUACAUGC